AGUUUGAUCCUGGCUCAGGAUGAACGCUAGCUACAGGCUUAACACAUGCAAGUCGAGGGGAAACGACAUCGAAAGCUUGCUUUUGAUGGGCGUCGACCGGCGCACGGGUGAGUAACGCGUAUCCAACCUGCCCACCACUUGGGGAUAACCUUGCGAAAGUAAGACUAAUACCCAAUGACGUCUCUAGAAGACAUCUGAAGGAGAUUAAAGAUUUAUCGGUGAUGGAUGGGGAUGCGUCUGAUUAGCUUGUUGGCGGGGUAACGGCCCACCAAGGCUACGAUCAGUAGGGGUUCUGAGAGGAAGGUCCCCCACAUUGGAACUGAGACACGGUCCAAACUCCUACGGGAGGCAGCAGUGAGGAAUAUUGGUCAAUGGACGAGAGUCUGAACCAGCCAAGUAGCGUGCAGGAUGACGGCCCCUAUGGGUUGUAAACUGCUUUUAUAAGGGAAUAAAGUGAGUCUCGUGAGACUUUUUGCAUGUACCUUAUGAAUACGCACCGGCUAAUUCCGUGCCAGCAGCCGCGGUAAUACGGAAGGUCCGGGCGUUAUCCGGAUUUAUUGGGUUUAAAGGGAGCGUAGGCCGGAGAUUAAGCGUGUUGUGAAAUGUAGAUGCUCAACAUCUGAACUGCAGCGCGAACUGGUUUCCUUGAGUACGCACAAAGUGGGCGGAAUUCGUGGUGUAGCGGUGAAAUGCUUAGAUAUCACGAAGAACUCCGAUUGCGAAGGCAGCUCACUGGAGCGCAACUUUCUCUGAAGCUCGAAAGUGCGGGUAUCGAACAGGAUUAGAUACCCUGGUAGUCCGCACGGUAAACGAUGGAUGCCCGCUGUUGGUUUGCAUUGGUC
rnacentral:rRNA from 1 species